rnacentral:rRNA from 1 species
CACGAACGCUGGCGGCGUGCCUAAUACAUGCAAGUCGAGCGCAGGAAACUGACGGAACUCUUCGGAGGGAAGGCAGUGGAAUGAGCGGCGGACGGGUGGGUAACGCGUAAGGAACCUGCCUCAAGGAUUGGGAUAACUCCGAGAAAUCGGAGCUAAUACCGGAUAGUUCAACGGACCGCAUGGUCCGCUGAUGAAAGGCGCUCCGGCGUCACCUUGAGAUGGCCUUGCGGUGCAUUAGCUAGUUGGUGGGGUAACGGCCCACCAAGGCGACGAUGCAUAGCCGACCUGAGAGGGUGAUCGGCCACACUGGGACUGAGACACGGCCCAGACUCCUACGGGAGGCAGCAGUAGGGAAUCUUCCACAAUGGACGAAAGUCUGAUGGAGCAACGCCGCGUGAGUGAUGAAGGUUUUCGGAUCGUAAAACUCUGUUGUAAGGGAAGAACACGUACGAGAGGAAAUGCUCGUACCUUGACGGUACCUUACGAGGAAGCCACGGCUAACUACGUGCCAGCCGCCGCCGUAACAC